GACGAACGCUGGCGGCGUGCUUAACACAUGCAAGUCGAACGGAAAGGCCCUGCUUUUGUGGGGUGCUCGAGUGGCGAACGGGUGAGUAACCCGUGAGUAACCUGCCCUUGACUUUGGGAUAACUUCAGGAAACUGGGGCUAAUACCGGAUAGGAGCUCCUGCUGCAUGGUGGGGGUUGGAAAGUUUCGGCGGUUGGAGAUGGACUCGCGGCUUAUCAGCUUGUUGGUGAGGUAGUUGCUUACCAAGGCUUUGACGGGUAGCCGGCCUGAGAGGGUGACCGGCCACAUUGGGACUGAGAUACGGACCAGACUCCUACGGGAGACAGGAGUGGGGAAUAUUGCACAAUGGGCGGAAGCCUGAUACAGCAACGCCGCGUGCGGGAUGACGGCCUUCGGGUUGUAAACCGCUUUCGCCUGUGACGAAGCGUGAGUGACGGUAAUGAGUAAAGAAGCACCGGCUAACUACGUG
rnacentral:rRNA from 1 species